UGCUAGUGUUGAUAAUUUCGCUCAAAAUGAACUAAAUGAUGAAGCUAAGCGCUUUUAUGAACAAUUAAAGGAAGCUAGUCAUCCACUGUAUGAAGGGUCAGUGCAUUCCAAGUUAUCUGUUGCAGUUAGAUUACUAAAUAUUAAAUCAGAUUUUUAUAUUUCUCAAGCGGGUAUGGAUUCUAUCAUUGGGCUUAUGAAUGAACUUAAUCCAAAUAAACUUGACUUACCCAAAGAUUUCUACACAACAAAGAAGUUGGUUUCCAAGUUAGGACUUUCAUCAGAGAGGAUUGAUUGUUGCGAGAAAGGUUGCAAGUUAUUCUAUAAGGAUGAUGCAACUUUAGAAUAUUGCAAAUUUUGUAACCAGUCUCGUUAUAAGGAAGUCACAAAUGCCAAAGGGAAGAAGGUUCCAAUAAAGGCGAUGCAUUACUUACCCCUUAUACCACGAUUAAAGAGGUUGUAUACAUCAAUGAGCUCCGCUCCUCAUAUGAGAUGGCACCAUGAACAUAAAAGGCCACCUGGUGUUCUAUGUCGUCCGUCAGAUGGAGAAGCAUGGAAGUAUUUUGAUAGGGUGUUUCCGGACUUUGCGAGUAAACCAAGAAACAUUAGGUUGGGAUUAUCUUCUGAUGGAUUUACUCCCUUUGUUGUCUCUGUUGCAUCAUAUUCAUGUUGGCCAGUGUUUGUUACACCUUAUAAUCUCCCGCCUGAGCUGUGUAUGACAAGUCCGUAUAUAUUUCUAACUUGCAUUGUUCCAGGUCCUCGCAAUCCGAAAUGUUUGAUCGAUAUAUAUAUGUAACCGUUAAUUGAUGAGUUGAAGUUAUUGUGGCAUGAAGGUGUGGAAGCAUAUGAUAUAUCAACCAAACAAAAUUUUAGAUUGCGUGCUGCUUUGAUGUGGACUAUAAAUGAUUUUCCUGCUUAUGGAAUGUUGUGCGGGUGGUCGACUGCUGGCGAGUUAGCUUGUCCUUGUUGUAUGGAAGACAAAAAAUCAUUCACUUUGAAAAAUGGAGGUAAGAACUCGUGGUUCGACUGUCAUCGUCGGUUCUUGCCAAUGCAACAUGAGUUUACGAGAAAUACUAGUGCAUUUAUGAAGAACAAAACUGAUUUUAAGGAGCCACCACCGACCCUGUCGCCAGAAGAAAUUUGGGAUAGAGUCAAGAAUCUUCCUAAUGUAGCAGAAUCUCCACCGUCUAGGAUACCUGGUUAUGGUGUUACACAUAAUUGGACUAAACAGAGUAUAUUCUUGGAGUUGCCUUAUUGGAAGCAUAAUCUUCUUCGAUAUAAUCUGGAUGUCAUGCAUAUCGAGAAAAACUUUUUUGACAACUUGUUUAAUACUGUGAUGGAUGUCAGUAACAAGACAAAAGAUAACUUGAAAGCCAAGAUGGACUUAAAGGAGUAUUGUAGACGAAGUGAGUUGUACCUGACAUACUUUAACGACAAGACUCAGAAACCCAAAGGCCAGUUACACAUUCACUUUGGAUGAUAGAAGAGAGAUUUGUGAUUGGGUUAAAAAUUUGAGGAUGCCAGAUGGAUAUGCGUCAAACUUAUCCAGGUGUGUUGACAUGAAAGAAGGGAAGUUGACAUCUAUGAAAAUUCAAUAUUGUCACAUUUUCAUGGAAUCUUUGAUGCCUAUUGCAUUUUGUGCAUUGCCUGAUCGAAUAUGGAAACCCAUCACAGAGAUAAGCUUAUUUUUCAAAAAUUUGUGUUCUAACACAUUGAGGGAGGAGAACCUAGCUUUGAUGGAUACUAAUAUUCGCUUAACCUUAAACAAGUUGGCGAAAAUUUUCCCUCCUGGUUUUUCGACAUUAUGGAGCAUCUUCCAAUUCAUCUUGUGCGAGAGGCACAACUUGGAGGACCUGUUCAAUGUAGAUGGAUGUAUCCCUAUGAGAGGCUGGUAAGAAAAUUACAAAUGCUAAACUUGCUAAAGAUUUUCAAGCAGUAUUGAAGGAGUUCCAAAAAGCUCAACAGCUUGCAGCUGAGAGGGAGACAGCAUACACACCUUUCGUUCCCAAAGCUGUUCUUCCUUCUAGUGUUGAAGUGCUCAGAAAGUAAAUAGAUGGCAUCUGGGAUUAAUGGACGUCGUAAGAAAUGUAAGAAACAACAUGAUAAUCCACCUAUAGGUCAAUCUCCCCCACCAGUUACUAUAAAUCCUCUUCAUCCUCCUCGGUCAACUAAUUCAUUGCCAAGUGCAUUUUUCACACCACCGCCGCCUGGCUAGUUCCAGUUCUAUUCUUCCCAUGGGACGCACUCUUCCAAUUCAAUGCUCACACCUAAUAUGGGCUCUUCCACGAGGAUUCAUAUUAGUCAGCAUAAUAGCUUUUCAUUUGUGCCUACAACAUCCACUCCGCUUGCAUCUCCAGCAUCAUCCGCACCUAGCAUUUCUAGGUUGAAAAUUGGAGUUCCUGGCACACCAGCAUGGCCAUCCAUCGAUAGUACUACACCAGCUACAUCACGAAAUUAGAAUAUUAAAGACACAUUAGAGCAUGACGAAUACGGGAGGUUGAUUAUCAUCCCUGAUGGUGAAGAAGAAGUGUCUAGUGAAGGGUUCAUUCCCUCAUAUGCCGGGAAUAUGGUUACAACAUCAUUUAAACCAUUUUUUCGUGAUGCUUGGGGUACAUACAAGGCCAUUCCGUACGAUGCCAGAAUGCUAAUGUGGGAUCAGUAGUGUCCAAAGUUUUAGGCCCUUGGGUUUGAUUCAGUUCAACCAUCAAGAAAGAAGCAAUCUCUUUUGUAAGCAUGUUGAAAGCUGCAGUAGGAGGGCAUUGCUAUGCCUGAUUGAGUUUCAUAUUUUAAAAGCUAACUCCUCCUUGAAAGUCUUAUAUUUGAGGAAUUGUGUUCACUUUGGUUGAUUUGUUAAAGACAUGAUUUAGUUAAAAAACAAUUUUUUUAUGAGAUUAGAGUAAAAUGAAAUCUCAGGUAUGUCCAUUUUGCUCUUGAGGAGAUUGGUGGAGCAGU